ensembl:lncRNA
UCCCUUCACUAAUACUCACUACUUGAGAAGAGGCUGAUUUCUGGAGCUUUCCCACUCUGGUCAAAACUGAAACUAAACUCUAAACAAAGGAAACUUCCCUCCAUCCUUUUGAACCAUCUUAUCCCCCCAUUGGUUCCUCUGGUCAGGUAUCAGCUAGGCUAGGUGAACUUCUUAACCCUUUACAGGUAAAAGAGGCAUUAACCCUUAACUAUCUGUUUAUGACAUAGGCACAUCCCUUAAUGCACUAGUGAAAGGCACUCAGAUACCCUGGUGAUAAGAACAAUAUAAGGAAUAAAAUGGAAUGGACCAGACGACAAGUCCAUUCAGUACCUGUCUCCAACAGGGGGCUUCAGAGGAAGGUGUAAGAACCCCACAGUGGGAAGAUGAGGAUAAUUCACCUCCCAUUAACUAUUAGAGAUCAGGAUGAGAUUUAGAGAUUGACAUGAGUCCUGAAGCAUGAGGGCUCCAAUGCAUGUUAUUACAAUUCUGGAUAUUCUUGUUAUUCAUAUAAAUAUCCAAUCACUUUCUUGAUUUUAUGUUCUUGGCCUCAACAACUUCCGGUGGCAAUGAGUUCCACAGUCUACCAAUGCACUUUGUGAAAAAUAUUUUCUGUUAUCAGUUCUGAAUUUGUCGCUUGUUAAUUUAAUUGAAGGUCUCCUUGUGUUAUAAGAUGGGGAGAAUAGAAGCACCUGAUCUACCUUCUCUAGACCACUAAUUGUUGUAUAUACUUUUAUCUAGUUUGCUUCUCUCUGCAUCACUUCUUGAGCAUAAUGGAGAAAAUGUUUCCAAACAAACAUCAAAAAAUCAAAUGGAUUUGGGUUAACUGCUAGAUAAAGGAGUCUCUAUGGAGUUGUCUCCUCACAUGGACUACACUAACUGAACCACUAACAAUAACUUUUUCCCUCUUAGGUAUUGUUGUUGGACAAAUGACCACUGCCCAGGUCUCUACGGGAUCACCACUGGUAUCUGCUGAUGUUUCGUCAGCUGCUCCAAAUGCAACCACUGUCGGGGUCUCUACGGUAUCAACUACAGCUGUGACAGUAACAGCUGAAGUGCUGUCAACCACUACAAACCCCACGGUGCCAUCUGCCACAACAGUAUCUGCUGAGGUUUCAUCCACCACCCGAACUGCAAGGGUGUCCACUAUUCCAAAUAGUACCACUGUUCAGGUUUCUCCAGGACCAACAUCAGCUGUGACAGAGUUGGCUGGGGUAACAUCAGCUACCCCCCGUGGCACAGUACCUACCAGCAUGCUAUCUACUGCUCCAAACGUGACAGCAUCUGCUGGGGUUCCAUCAGCUACUCCAUUUGUAAGCACCAUGGAGUCCACAAACUGCAGUGCAGUGAACACAACAGCGUGUACAGCUUGUUCACCAGGAACGUUUCCCAGCAAUGAGACAUUGGGUUGUUUCUGCUGCUCAGAGGGCUCCUGCGCAGAACCUAUUGAUUGCAUCUCCUGUCCAGUGGGUCACUAUCAGCCUCUAGCUGGACAACUGUCCUGUCUGCUUUGCCCACAAGGAUAUUACACUAAUUUAAUGAAAAGUGUUGCAUGCCUGCCCUGUCAGCCUGGCUCUUAUUCCAAUGAGUCUGGGGCACCAGCUUGCACACCGUGUGGAAAAGGGCAUUUCAGCUUCCAGAACAAUUCAGCAUUCUGCAUGCCCUGUCCACACGGAUCAUUUUGCAAUACUACCAACUGCAGCAAGUGUACAAUUUGCCCCACUGGAGAAGAGGCCCUUACAGAAGCAUCUGAAGAAUGUGCACCUUGUCUGCCAGGUACAUAUAAAGGCCCCAGCGACAGCAAAUGUGAGAUCUGCAAUAUAGGAGAAUACCAAGUACAAAGGGGCAAGGAGAGCUGUGACAAAUGCCCAGAAAAUUAUUACUGUCCUGUAAGUCUCUCUAAGCUGCAGCAGUGGUAUGUCUUACUAAAUGUAGCUGAUCUAUUACAAGCUGAAUACAUUUUAAUUAACACCAUCUUUAUUCAGUUCACUUCCUUUGUAGGGUUCUUUUAG